rnacentral:rRNA from 1 species
CUCGUAGGCGGCCAACUAAGUCAGACGUGAAAUCCCCAGGCUCAACCUGGGAACUGCGUCUGAUACUGGAUGGCUUGAAUCCGGGAGAGGGAUGCAGAAUUCCAGGUGUAGCGGUGAAAUGCGUAGAUAUCUGGAGGAAUACCGGUGGCGAAGGCGGCAUCCUGGACCGGCAUUGACGCUGAGGAGCGAAAGCCGAGGGGAGACGAAAC